AAGUCUGACGGAGCAACGCCGCGUGAGUGAUGAAGGUUUUCGGAUCGUAAAGCUCUGUUGUUAGGGAAGAACAAGUGCAAGAGUAACUGCUUGCACCUUGACGGUACCUAACCAGAAAGCCACGGCUAACUACGUGCCAGCAGCCGCGGUAAUACGUAGGUGGCAAGCGUUGUCCGGAAUUAUUGGGCGUAAAGGGCUCGCAGGCGGUUUCUUAAGUCUGAUGUGAAAGCCCCCGGCUCAACCGGGGAGGGUCAUUGGAAACUGGGAAACUUGAGUGCAGAAGAGGAGAGUGGAAUUCCACGUGUAGCGGUGAAAUGCGUAGAGAUGUGGAGGAACACCAGUGGCGAAGGCGACUCUCUGGUCUGUAACUGACGCUGAGGAGCGAAAGCGUGGGGAGCGAACAGGAUUAGAUACCCUGGUAGUCCACGCCGUAAACGAUGAGUGCUAAGUGUUAGGGGGUUUCCGCCCCUUAGUGCUGCAGCUAACGCAUUAAGCACUCCGCCUGGGGAGUACGGUCGCAAGACUGAAACUCAAAGGAAUUGACGGGGGCCCGCACAAGCGGUGGAGCAUGUGGUUUAAUUCGAAGCAACGCGAAGAACCUUACCAGGUCUUGACAUCCUCUGACAACCCUAGAGAUAGGGCUUUCCCUUCGGGGACAGAGUGACAGGUGGUGCAUGGUUGUCGUCAGCUCGUGUCGUGAGAUGUUGGGUUAAGUCCCGCAACCGAGCGCAACCCUUGAUCUUAGUUGCCAGCAUUUAGUUGGGCACUCUAAGGUGACUGCCGGUGACAAACCGGAGGAA
rnacentral:rRNA from 1 species